GUGAUAACUAAGCAAAAAGUACAUUUUUAAAUAUAAGAAUUAUGAUAAAGAAAUAUUAGAAAUUUUAACGGGUCAAUAGCCAUGUCUUUUUUCAUAUAAGCAUACUAUUAGAAGCAGUAGGAUGUUCCACUUCCAAAGAUGCCUCAUCACAAACACACAUUUCUAGUGGAGCCUCAACAAAACCUUGUGGGUACAUAAAAGGGUCAUGUACACUAAUACUCUUAACACAAUGGACACGAUUAUUUUUGCAUUCGUCUAAGCAAUAGGCAUAUUCAGACAUAUCUCCCAUGCAUUCAUAGUUGCAAAAUUUCAAACAAUCCUUUGGUCUGCAUUUGGAGCCCACAACUAAACCAGAAUCCAGACAUAUUGCCAUCAUCAAUAUCAGUCCAAUCAAAAUAUUCCUCUCGGUAUGCAUGUUUCUCUUAUCUGAAUUUUUAUUUGCUAAAUGCUUCUG
rnacentral:lncRNA from 1 species